AGGACGAACGCUUGCGACGUGCCUAAGAAAUGCAAGUCGAACGGACAGUAGCAAUACUGUUAGUGGCGAACGGUCGCGUAACACGUGGGCAACCUGCCCCGAAGCGGGGGACAACAACCCGAAAGGGUUGCUAAUACCGCAUGUGAAUCGUGGUGGCAUCACCAAGGAUUCAAAGCCGCAAGGCACUUCGGGAUGGGCCCGCGGCCUAUCAGCUAGUUGGAGAGGUAACGGCUCACCAAGGCUUCGACGGGUAGCUGGUCUGAGAGGACGGCCAGCCGGAUUGGGACUGAGAUACGGCCCAGACUCCUACGGGGGGCAGCAAUUAGGAAUCUUGCGCAAUGGGCGAAAGCCUGACGCAGCGACGUCGCGUGAAGGAUGAAGGUCUUCGGAUUGUAAAGCACUUUCGACAGGGACGAUGAUGACGGUACCUGUAGAAGAAGCCCCGGCUAACUUCGUGCCAGCAGCCGC
rnacentral:rRNA from 1 species